CCUACGGGUGGCAGCAGUGAGGAAUAUUGGUCAAUGGCCGGAAGGCUGAACCAGCCAAGCCGCGUGAGGGAGGAAGGCGCAGAGCGUCGCAGACCUCUUUUGCCGGGGGACAAAAGCGCGGACUCGUCCGGUCCUGAGGGUACCCGGAGAAAAAGCAUCGGCUAACUCCGUGCCAGCAGCCGCGGUAAUACGGAGGAUGUGAGCGUUAUCCGGAUUCAUUGGGUUUAAAGGGUGCGCAGGCGGGCCGUUAAGUCAGCGGUGAAAGCGCGGGGCUCAACCCCGGCGCGCCGUCGAAACUGGGGGUCUCGAGUGGGGCGGAGGUAUGCGGAAUGCGCGGUGUAGCGGUGAAAUGCAUAGAUAUCGCGCAGAACCCCGAUUGCGAAGGCAGCGUGCCGGGUCGCCACUGACGCUGAGGCACGAAAGCGCGGGGAUCGAACAGGAUUAGAUACCCUGGUAGUC
rnacentral:rRNA from 1 species